rnacentral:lncRNA from 1 species
UCUCAAACCACAGAUGCCGCUUCUACAUCCAAGCAACAUGGCACCAGGAUGACACCACCCACUCUCAGUUUAUGGGUCAAGACGAUUGCCCUUCCACUGGCUGCAAUCGGGCUGUCACCCUUAACAUUAUUGGAUUCAACCAAGCCACCUCCGAUACUUCCUAGAGUUCCUACAACAGGAACAAUGGCUGAUACUAAAGAUCUUCUCUGCUCAGAAAUGGUUUGAUGCCAUUGACAACCAAUGGCUUCAAGAAAUCUUUAUGGACUUUGACCCUUCCGAAAUAACUGUCUAUAGCCACUGGAUGUCAUUUCUGGCUGCCAUGGUGUUCACAGACCUGUCCCCUGAACAUUCCUCCACUUUCCCUUCUAGAUUCCACGCCACCCACCAUUAAGCAGGAAGUAGCUAGAGGACUUUAUGAUGUCCCCUGUGUCGCUUAGAAAAACAAAAAGGGAGGAAUGUUAGGUGCAGAACAGGCUGAACUAUGUUAUCUGCAGAGCAGGCUGAACAAAUGUUAGCUGCAGGAUGGCCCACGCACUCAAACCCCUGCUCUGUCUGGUCCUUUAUCACCUGUUUACGUCAAAGCUGAACAUUCAACCCCCACUCAAGGCUGAACACUCAACCCUCCCUUGUGCCAACAAGGCAGCUUGCAGACCCAGAGGCCCUGUUAGAUUUGGGCUAUAAAAACUCCCUCCUGCUGGGCCCCUCUCUUGCUCUCUUGCUCUCUUGCUGUGUCUCUCUCUCUUGAUCUCUCUGUCUCCCUUGCACGCAUGCUCUUCUCUCUCUCUCUCUCUCUCUCUCUCUCUCUCUCUCUCUCUCUCUCUUUUCUCCUCUGUUGCACUGCUGCAAAAAGAUCUCUUGGUAGCUCCAAGUGUUGUGGUCACUUUCCUUUCAAUUCUAGGUACUUGCACCUUGAUCUUGGACUUGUCAGACUCCAGAACCGUGAGAACUAAAUUUCUGUUCUUUAUAAAUCACCUAGUCAGUAGUAUACUGUUAAAACAGCACAAAACAGAUAAGACUCUCACCUUUCCCUUUGUUUGGGCUAGAUAAAUACAUUAAGAAUAUUGGGAAAGGGAAAGGCAAGAAUUAACCUCAUCAUAUUGGAUUGGAAUUGGAAAUAUCAGAGUGAGUGCAUGGUACUUCAUACAUCAAGAGAGAUGGAAAAACAGUUACAGCUAUUCGUGUUAUAGGUAUGCAUAUUCCAUAAUUCACAGAAAAGAUCUGGAAGCAGCAGAGGGGCUGAAGCAAUUAGCACACCUAGCAUCUAGAUCUUGGUUUCUAAAUCCCAUUCAUCACUAAAAGAAACAAGAAUUGCUUGAAGAAAUUACUAAUUCUCAAGAUUGGGUCAGGGAAAGUACAAGAUUAACUGGGAACUCAUGCUGCACCAGAAAGUGUCCAAAGAAUGAUGGGGCAUAUCAGAAGAACACAGGAGCUAGCUUAAGGGAGUCCCAGGUCAGAGAAAAUUAGAGCAUCGAAUAUUAUAGAAAGAGUUUGGAAUCUUUUGAAUAAAAUAGGAAUCCAUGAGUCCAUAUUGAUAAAAAUGAAUAAAUAAUUAGGGAAGAAGGAAACAGUAUUUUCUAGAGUAGACUGCCAACCAAUAAAUGGAAUGAUAGAUAUAGAGAAAUCACCAAUUUUUAACCAUUAGAAUCAUAGUUUAGUAAUCAGUAGAUGCCCAAUGUAAUGAGUAAAAAUUUGACAACAUAAUUUGCAUAGUCUUACAUUAUUCAUUAUUUAUUUAAUGAGGAUAACAUAACCUACUAGUUUACUGAGUGCUAACAGAACCUGGAAGAAAGUGUCUUAACCAAGAGAGAAAAAAGUUUGUAUCACCAGCAAUAAGACAAGUCAAUGGAGUGUUUCCCAAUAUAUACCACGAAGAACACAGUACCACUUGUGUGAUAGAUUCCUGGCAAAUAAACAAAUCAUGAGGAAAUACCAGAGAAACCAAACCAAAGGACAGUCUAUAAAACAAAUGGUCAGUGAUCUUCAAAAAUUCUCUUUCCCAUGAAAGGCAGGAAAACAUUCUAGGACCAUUCCAAGUUAUAGAUCACUAAAUUAAAAGCAAACAAACAAACCCCUGCAUUUAAUGAAGGCCACAGAAGUCAUCCCCCAAGAAAGAAAAAAGUUUCUUAUUUUAGACACAUUUUUAUAAUACUAACUCAUUUAAUGUUACUCGAGCUCAUUUAAGAGCAAUGAAAACAUACAAACUCACAGUAAACAGUUUGGAAGAUACAAAGUUUCAAAAGCUCUUAAAAACAUUCUGUCUGGCAGCAAAACUUGUCUAGACCUGAAUAUUAGUUUCCUAUUCUUCCCUGGGAAACAACAUCAAUAACAGCAAAAAGCUUGUCUCUAAUCACUGGUGUGCUGAAAAGAAGAACCCGUUCUUUUAUUCAACUCUUGAAGCCUCACUUUCUGCAGAUAAUAUUUUCUAAUGCCAAGUACACAUCAGUCAUCCACAGUUUUACUAACAGGUCUUUCAAAAAGACCUCUAUCCAGCUUAAACUGCUGAAACUGAACCAUAAAGUUUUCUAGUUUAACCUGUUAGAUGGGAUUCCAAAUAAACAAAGAGUAUGUUGUCAAGUAAGAGUUCCACUAACUAUAAUCACUUCUUGAGAUAGUAUUUACAUUUGUUCCUAAAGUUUUCAACUGAAAGUGAAAAAUGGGGAUUAAAUCCUGGGGUGUUCUGCCACUGAGUUACAUCCCCAACCAUUUUUAUUUUUUAUUUUGAGACAGGGUCUCACUAAGUUGCCCAGGUUGACCUCCAACUUGCCAUCCUCCUGCCUCAGGCUUCUAAGCAGCUGGUAUUGCCACAACCAGCUAGAAGAAAGGAUUUUGAAUGUUCUUACCAUAAAGAAAUUAUAAAUGCUAAAGAUGAUAGAUAUGCUUGCCUCGAUUUGUACUUUACCCAGUGUAUACAGGA